GAUGAACGCUGGCGGCGUGCCUAAUACAUGCAAGUCGAGCGAACGGACGAGAAGCUUGCUUCUCUGAUGUUAGCGGCGGACGGGUGAGUAACACGUGGAUAACCUACCUAUAAGACUGGGAUAACUUCGGGAAACCGGAGCUAAUACCGGAUAAUAUUUUGAACCGCAUGGUUCAAAAGUGAAAGACGGUCUUGCUGUCACUUAUAGAUGGAUCCGCGCUGCAUUAGCUAGUUGGUAAGGUAACGGCUUACCAAGGCAACGAUGCAUAGCCGACCUGAGAGGGUGAUCGGCCACACUGGAACUGAGACACGGUCCAGACUCCUACGGGAGGCAGCAGUAGGGAAUCUUCCGCAAUGGGCGAAAGCCUGACGGAGCAACGCCGCGUGAGUGAGGAAGGUCUUCGGAUCGUAAAACUCUGUUAUUAGGGAAGAACAUAUGUGUAAGUAACUGUGCACAUCUUGACGGUACCUAAUCAGAAAGCCACGGCUAACUACGUG
rnacentral:rRNA from 1 species